AAUAUUGGACAAUGGGCGAAAGCCUGAUCUAGCCAUGCCGCGUGUGUGAAGAAGGUCAUCGGAUUGUAAAGCACUUUACGUUGGGAGGAAUGGGCUGCGGCUCAUACCUGCAAUCUUUGACUUUACCGACAGAAUAAGCAUCGGCUAACACUGUACCAGCAGCCGCGGUAAUACAGAGGGUGCAAGCGUUAAUCGGAAUUACUGGGCGUAAAGCGCGCGUAGGUGGUUCAGUAAGAUGGAAGUGAAAUCCCCGGGCUUAACCUGGGAAUUGCUUUCAAAACUGACGAGCUAGAGUACGGUAGAGGGUAGUGGAAUUUCCUGUGUAGCGGUGAAAUGCGUAGAUAUAGGAAGGAACAUCAGUGGCGAAGGCGACUACCUGGACUGAUACUGACACUGAGGUGCGAAAGCGUGGGGAGCAAACAGG
rnacentral:rRNA from 1 species